rnacentral:rRNA from 1 species
UACGUAGGGGGCAAGCGUUGUCCGGAUUUAUUGGGCGUAAAGAGCUCGUAGGUGGUUCGGUAAGUCGGAUGUGAAAUCUCCAGGCUCAACCUGGAGGGGUCAUUCGAUACUGCCGUGACUAGAGUUCGGUAGGGGAGUGUGGAAUUCCAGGUGUAGCGGUGAAAUGCGUAGAUAUCUGGAGGAACACCGGUGGCGAAGGCGGCAUCCUGGACCAACACUGACGCUGAGGAGCGAAAGCCAGGGGAGCAAACGGG